rnacentral:lncRNA from 1 species
AGACAGGGAAUUUUGAGGUUAGCCUACCAAAAUCAUUACUUAAGGACUUGUUUUUGGUGACGUGUUAUGGGAAGUUAUUUGUUAAUUUCCUUAAUAAACCUGUAUUGACCAUUGAACCCUUCAGUGCAAGGCACUGAGGGAUGGCAGAAGACAAGGGUCCCUGCCCUGGAGGAGAAAAUCCAUUGUGGUAAGUGCUAGACUAGGGGAGGCAUAGGAUUUAUGAGAACACACAGGAGAAGCAUCUAAUUUAGAUUUGGAGAGUCAGGGUAGACUUCCCAGUGGAGUGGCCUUUAAGCAAACCUGAGAGGUGGUGGCCAGGACAAAGAACGGUGGGAGGAGUGAUGAAGACAGAAGGAAAAAUGUGUAAGGGGCAGGAGACAGUAAAAGCAUGACAUAUUCUAGAAAUUGCAUGCUAUUGGGUUUGGCAGGAGCACAAUAUGCUAAUGAAAGAGGAGAAAUCAUGAGACUAGGGACCUAACCCUGCUUAUUAGGUCGUGUGUUAAAUCUAAGGUGCUUGUUAUGUUACAGGAAAUGGAAAGUUAGCGAAGGCUUUCAAGCCAGAGAAGUUAUCCGUUUUAUUUUCUCAGCAGAGGGCACCUUGGUUAACUCCUGUGUUGACCUUGGGGCGGCUGUUUGGAUGCUACAGUCAUUCUCUGCGAGUAGAAGGACCAGACUAUAGAAUACUGUGUAGUUUGUCUUUCCAUAACACCCCAACUGCCUCUCUCUUUUAUGAAAUUUAUCUUUCUUCUUGUAUUUUUAUGGCCCUCUGAACCUUAUCGCAAGGCCAGCGUCAUUCAAAAGAACAACGGUUAAUGUUCAGUCUCUAUAUAGACAGAUAUAUCUUCAUUCUUUCAGUAGAGAAGCAGUUUUGAUGCCCAGCACAUAAUAGUUACUCAAUAAAUGUUUAUUGGCAUAAAAGGAGUGAAUACCAAAAGAAAAGAUGCCAGCUCAAUUCUCUCUUUUUUUUGGUAACCCUUACUCUGCCUCCUCCAUGUUCUUUAACUUUAGAGAAUUUCCCUAUCCGCUGUUCUUUAAACCUGCAAAAAGGUCCAAUCAUAUAUAUAUAUUAGUAGUACUAAUGAUAAUUACUAAAACUGAACAUUUUAAAUAGUUCAGAUUCACAAACUCCAUUUUCCUGCUAGUUCCCAAAUUCACCUGACAGUUGAUAUGCAGAUAUAAUAAAGAAUAGUGGAAAACUUCAGUCAGCUCAACAGGAGUACUUUGGGAAUUAUGUAGAAGGGUCAUUUAUGAACUGAAAAAAUUUCCCUGCCAGUGAACUUCAUUUCUAACAUAUAUCUGAGAAUGAUCACAAAGGAAAACACUAUUUUGCAUUUGAUUAAACAACAGUUUAUAAAAUACAUACAUGGUAUUAACUGCUUAUACUAAAUUAAAUUAACAUUACUCAGUUUACCUUUUGAGGCUAAAUACUCAAUUCUUUAAUACUUCCCAAUUUCAGAGGCUAAGCCAAUCCAUAGUUAGUUUUCAAUGGUUUAUAUCAUUACUGACCUAAUAUAUUUAGGUGGACAUACUUCCUCAUAUUUCACCAGUAGGAACACCUUCAAGGCAGGCCUGUGUGUCCUUUUGAUGUGCUUCCGUGGUUUUUCUAAGCACUUGGCCUAACAAGAUAUUCCAGGCUCAUUCUAUACCUUCCUUGCCCCAGCCCUGGAGUCUCCCCUUUCUUGAAGUGCCCUGGUUCCCUAUUGAGAGGAAUGAUAUUAGAACCUAAGAUCCAGGUACUAGAUACACUCUUUGCUACUGGAAUAUUUUUUUUUUUUUAUGGUCAGUUGAUUUUUAAAAAUAAUUUAAUCUUGUAUUAAGAUAUAGUUUAUUUACAAUGUUGUGUUAGUUUCAGAUGUAUAGCAAAGUGAUUCAGUUAUACAUAUACUUAUAUCCAUUCUUUUUCAGAUUCUUUUCCCUUAUAGGCUAUUACAGAAUGUUGAGUCGAGUUCUCUGUGCUAUACAGUAGGUCCUUGUUGGUUAUCUAUUUUAUAUAUAGCAGAGUGUAUUCGUUGGUAUCAAACUCCUAAUUUAUCUGCCCCCCUCCCCCCAUUACUGGCUUAUCUUUGCUUUUAAGUCUCCAGAGGAUUCUUCCUUGGCUUUCCCCUGUGUAUUUAUAGCUCCCCUUUUCCAAAGAGAGCACCCUGGCUCCCAGCUAACACUGUUUCCUUUCAUUCAGUGCUAUUGUGUAUCUAAAACAGUUUCACAACGGUUUUCCUUAUUUGCAUUUCCCCUUUGCCUACCCCAGUUGAGGUUAUGUAAUUAAAUACUAUGUUCAAAAAUUAACAGGGUUAAAAGAGGGUGCAAGGAAACUUUUGGAGGUGUCUGAUGUGUUGAUGGACUAUAUUGUGGUCAUGGUUUCAUGGUUUAUACUUCGCACGCAUCAAGUUGUAUAUAUUAAAUAUGUAUAGCUUUUGGUAUGUCAGUCAUACCUUAUUACAAUAGUUAUUAAAAAAAAGAAAAAUGAUGGGUGAACUACCAUGGUGGGCAAUACAGGGUGAGUUUGAACUGCCUACAUUCAGAAUUUAAAACAAAUUUUCUUUUUUUGGCCACCUUGCAGCAUGUGGAGUUCCCAGGCCAGGGAUCAGAUCCUAAGGAAGGCUGGGACCUAAUGCCUGCCUCAGGUCCUUAAGCUACUGUGCUGGGCCAGUGAUCGAACCUGUGUCCCUGCGCUCCAGAGAUACCACCAAUCGCGUUGAGCUGCAGUGGGGACGCCCAGAAUUUUUUAAUGUGAGAAAGAAAAUAAAUCUCUCUCCUGUUUGUUUCACUUAAAAAAGGUUAACCGAAUUAAUCCCUCCAUUCACCACAGUGGAUACCUGUUUAAUCUUCUGUCUUGUUUAGAUUAAGUGUCUAGUGGGACAAGGACCAUUUCUCUUUCUCUCUCUGUGUAUAUAAACGUGUGGUGUAAAUCAAGAAUAUUGAGGUUGUUUUGCCCAGUGUUUCACAUCUUUGAUUAGAAACUAUUGCUGAAGCCAAGUAAAGUUUAAUAUUUCUUUUCUUUUUUUUCAUUUUUUACAUAGAGAAUGUUCCUCUACCUUUUUGCAUUUUACUCAGAAAUAGCAGAGACAUUUCUCUCUAACUGCUGUGUUUGCAUUCCUGAAAAAUCUUUAAUUCUGCAAAAUCAUAUGCUAAAAGUGAUAGUGCUUCUAGGGCAAAUAGGGUUAGGAACAGAUGGUUUAAAACCGGUGAAAUUGUGUAAACAGAGUCAGUAUCAAAAAAUGAUAAUUAUAAAAACACCAACAUGGUUAAAUCUUCACUGGCCUUUACAUCCACCCUCGCACUUAGCCUUAAACUCUAGUUUUCUUCCUUUAAGUUAUGGGUCCUUAAAGUCAUCCACUUCUAACCCAGACCGAUUUCAUCAAAGUUAAAAAUCUCAUCCAGGGUGUUUUCUUUUUUGUUUUCUUUUAAACACAAGGGGAAAUAUUUUGCAUUUCUUCAUCUGUACUCUCAGCUUCCUUUGGUUGCUUAUGAUAGUGGAGAAUUUUAAGGCAGCGAAUGAGACUUUCCACUUUGUUGCAUGUGAACUAAUUUACAUUAAAGAAAUAUCUGUUGUAGCAGAAAAGACCCAUGUCAGUGUGCUUUAAUAUAUACAGAUAAUAUAUACCUAUUAUUGAGAAUUGAAAUAAUAUGGAAAAGUAUAAGAAAAGUAAAAAUCCCUUGACUGCCAGUAAAUACUGCUGUUGUCAUUUGUGUGCCUGCUGUUCCUCACCUGACCUUUUCUGAUGAUGAUGAUGACGUAUAUAAAAUUUCACAUAAAUGAGUUCAUAUUAUACUUUGAGUGUUCCAACCUUUUUUCAAGACAGAAUGUCUACCAAUAUAGCUAUACGAUAUCCUUUUUAAUGAUUUCUCUAUAUGCUUGUUGUAGUUUCUUUCUUUUCUUUUUCUUUUUUUUUUUGCACAGACAUGCUCCUGUUUUCAGUUUAUUCUGUUACAAAUAGUGGUGUACUGGAAGUCCUUGCUCACAUCUUUGUGCCUUAGAGAUGAUGUCUCUGCCUCAGAGAUGUGUGUCCAUGUGACACUUUGGCACGUGCUAUUCUAUUAUGUUCAAGAAAAGUUGUACCCAUUUACAUUCCCAGGAGAGUUUUGAGAAAUCCUGUGCUCCCACACUGGGUAGCUUUAGUUUUCUAAGUCUUUAUCAGUCUGGUAAGUUAAAAAAUUGAUAUAUAUAUAUUUUUUUUGUUUUUGUUUUUGUUUUUUUUUUUUUUCUUUUUAUGGCCGCGCUGUACCUAUGGCAUAUGGAACUUCCCAGGCUAGGGGUCGAAUCAGAGCUGCAGCUGCCAGCCUACACCACAGCCACAGCAACACCAGAUCUGAGCCGCCUCUAUGACCUAUGCCACAGCUUGUGGCAAUACCAGAUCCUUAAUCCACUGAGUGAGGCCAGGGAUCGAACCCGCAUCCUCACAGAAACAACACUGGGAGCUUAACUCCCUGAGCCACAAUAGGAACUCCAAUAUUUUGUUUUAUUUGUAUUUGUUUUAUUAUUAGUGUGGUAGAACAUCUUUAUAUAUAUAUGCUAUCCAUAUUUCGCUUUCAGUGACAUGUAUUUUACUCAUUCUUCUCUCGGAACAUUUACCUUUUUUCUUACAAGCAUUGUAUAAUUUUAGAGAUAUCAAACCUUUGGAAUUAAUAUAUAUUGCAAUUUUUAGUGUCAUGCUGAUUAUCUUAUAACCUUAUAUUUGGGAUAUAUUGAUUUUUAUGAUGUCAAAUCUAUUAAUAUUUUUUCUUUUAUGUAUUCUGGGUUUUGUGAAAUGUUCAAAAAGCUCUCUUUCCACUCCUAGAAGAUUGUUUGCCUUUAUUGUCUUUUAUUACUUUUAUGUUUUUAUUUUUACACUUAAUCUUUGAAUUAUCUGAAAUUUAUUAUUCUAUAAUGAAUAAAAUAAAUACUGACCUUUGGUUUGUUUUUUUUUUUUUUCCUCCCUCCAAACGGUGGAUAGUUAUUUAAUAUCAUUUGUUAAUUCAGUCCCCUCUCCUUCAUUGCAAAUGUCUCUAGCAUAUACCAGAUUUCUUUGUGUCCUUGGAUUUAUUUCUGGGCUUACUAUUGUAUUUGAUAUUUCUGCAGAACAAGUUACCCCAAACUCAGUGGCUUUAAAUGUUUAUUCUCUCCCAUGGUUUCUACAGAUGGGAAAUUGGGGAGCAGCUCAGCUCUACAGUUCUAGGUCAUGGUCUCUGUUAAGGCUGAAGUUAAGAUUACAGUGGGAAGCACAGUCAUCUAAAGGCUUAAGUGAGGCUGGAGGUUCUGUCUGGCAGGUAGCUUACUCCCAUAGCUGGUCAGGGGGUGCUGGCUCUUUUGGGGAGGGAGGCCUCAAUUGCUCCCUAAUUGGGCUUUUUUCUGGGGCUGGCUGUCCUCAGGACAGGUGCUGGCUUGCCUAGAAGUAGUGAUCGAGGAGAGAGAGGCAGGAGGAAGCUAUAUUUUUAAAAACUAGCUUGGAAAGUCAUAUAGCAUCACUUAUGCUACAUUGUGUUUCCAGAAGCAAGUCCAGCCUGCCCUUAAGAAGAUGAAUAUUUUUAAACUGCCAUAGUUCCCUUGAUUGUUCCAUUCAUGUAUUUCCCCACUUCUGCUCUAAUAUACUUUUUAAUACAUUGAUUCAUUGAAAGAGUCUUAUAUCAAAUUGAGAGAAUAUUCCAUAAUACCCUGGUCAACUGUAUUUAACAGUCUUUGAGUCUUAUUGGUUAGGUAUCUAAAAAUAGAUGCACAAAAUAAUAUCGGUAAUAAUGUGGUCACAUUUUAAGUUGCUUUAUUUCCUAAGUUCUGAUACUUCUUUGGAAUUAUAUAGUGGGGAUUGUUAUAUUUCACUGGAGAUAUCUACUUACAACUUGAAACAAAAUUUUUUAUAUGAGAUCAUAUUUCUAUGAGUAAUUUUAAAGGCUUUGAUUGGCAGAUACAUUGUAACUUCAGGGCACUGCCUAUUAAUGGAAUUUCACAGGCAUCUUAAACAGAAUCUUCUAAUAUACUGGCAAGUAGGCAAAAAUCGCAAUAAGGCAUUUGCGUGUGGGGAGCAAUCUAAGUAAACAUCUCAGCUCCAUAUGCUGCACUGUUCACCAGGGGCUCAUUAUGAUCCCUGGACUUUCUGUGCAGCAGACACUUGAGUCCAGAGAGUGCUGUGCUCCAUCUGCCUUAGUCUCCAGGCUCUAUAGGAGGAGCCUCUUUGUGCUCUGACCUCUGGGCUGUCUUUUUUCUUUAACAUAUUGCCAGCCUAGCUUUUGCUGCCAUUUCAACAAGUGCAUGUGCCUGAGGGUGGGCUUGCACUUCUAGGUUUAAAGGGCCACAGCCCCUCAUUGCAGAGGCCUGGGCUACUGUUGCUUUCCCUUUAAAUGGUGUCAGUCUUCUCAUCUGGCUCGGGUCUUUCUCUGGUGCCCAGCCUGCUCUGCCACUGUUGGAGCUCCCCGUGGACGUGCAGCUGCCGUAGAUGGGCUGUGGGCAGCCUUCCAGAACUCCCAACCAUGGUUUGGACGGGUUUUCUUUUUGACAGACUAAUCAGAGCCUUAAUGUGCUUCCCCUGCUGGGGGAGCCUGUGUUUCUAAUUUUUAGAUUUAUUAUUCUGGGAAGAGUCCAACUUUUUUUUUUUUUUAAAUAAUUUUACCUUCCCAUCUUUGCACCUUUAGAGUCUGGCUUUGACUAUUUUGAGAAACCUUCCUAUUUCCUCUUCCCAAUCCUGAUCAAAGGAAAAGCCCUGUUUUUGUUCCUUAUCCCUUGAUGUGAAUUGGAGUUGGUGUCUGGUUAAAGAAAGCAAUGUAUUUGAGGCAUGAGGGCUAGGGGUCAGGAUAGGAUUUUCAUGAGACCCUCAAAGCAUGUUCUUUUUAAAAAUUCCCAUUUCCACUUAUUGUCCAACCCAUUGGAUACCCUUGUACUCUUUAAAACUAGGAGAAAUGAGUAGGAAGUACUGUGAGACAGUAGACCAGACUCGGAGGUCGCAAGGCAGGUCAGGGCAGCUGUGCUCCAGGGACUGUUUCACAUGGUGUUUCUGGGGACAUUUCCCAUCACUCGCAUUAUUGCCUGAUGCUCACUUUCUGAUAUUCUUUUUGUUUAUCUUGUACCCCCCACCCCGCGCGCCCCUUUAUUUUUGCUUUUUAGGGCUGCACGUGUGGCAUAUGGAGGUUCCCAGGCUAGGGGUCAAAUCCGAGCUGCAGCUGCCGAUCUGCACCACAGCCACUGCAGCUCGGGAUCUGACACACAUCUGCGACCUAUACCACAGCUCACAGCAACGCUGGAUCCUUAACCCCCUGAGUGAGGCCAGGGGUUGAACCGGCAUCCUCAUGGACACUAGUUGGGGUCGUUACUACUGAGCCACAAUGGGGACUCCAAAUUGUGCCGUUUUACACGUAGGUUCUCAGUGUUACCGUCUUUUCCUUAUUUCUCCGGUCUCACUCCUAUUUCUUAGCUUUGAUUUCUGAAGGGUUUUGAGAUUUUGUUUUUGAGAAGAAUGUUUUUUCUGUUUACAUGCUCUCCAUUUUUUAAAAGCCAAUUUCACUCACAGCCUAAAUGCUGAAAAAAUGUAUUUUCUUUUUAGCUGUGCAGCACAUAUUCUGAUACCGGAAAUAUGUUCUUUGGCUAAUUCAAAAUAUUACUGCUUCGGGAAUAAAUAUGCUUAUGGUGAAUAGUCCAAGGUCCUAUAAUUACUUUGUUUAGGUUGUGGAUAAGUAUGUGGUCUGCUUCAUUUACACAUAUAUUUCAGCUGCCACAUUGUUAGCUUAACAUCCAUAUUGCUUUUGGCUUUUACUUAAUGACAGCAGUUAUGCUUUUCUAUUAAAAUGGAAAAAAAGAGAGUGCAGUGUUGCAAUCUAAAUUUUGUGGUUAUUGGAGUUUAAAUCUUACCAAGCUUCUCCUUGCUAAUGGUUAUCAUUUAAUAGGAUUUUUCUCAUUCCAUAAAAAGCUAUUCGCUGUCCUGUUAAUUCUUAUGGCAAACUAUUUUUGCAGAAUUUAUGGCAUCUGAAUAACUGAACUUUGAGCUUGGGCCUUAGUUGUAAAUGCAGUCAAAUGGUAUCUAUGUAGACUUAAAGGAUAAGAAUAAUAUGUAGGAUUAGUGUGGCUUGCGCUGUCUCUUAGAGAGGGCUACUGCUGUGAUGUGGAUUUUGUCUAUGUGGUUUCCAAAAAUAUUGUCGUCAUGAAGAUUUCCGUAUUGCUAAGGAGCAAAAU